AAAUGUUUUGGGGCUACAACUCCCAUCAUCCCUAGCUAACAGGACCAGUGGUCAGGGGUGAUGGGAAUUGUAGUCCCAAAACAUCU
rnacentral:miRNA from 1 species